rnacentral:rRNA from 1 species
AUUGAACGCUGGCGGCAGGCCUAACACAUGCAAGUCGAGCGGAGCGGCGGGCGGGUGAGUAAUGUCUGGGAAACUGCCUGUUGGAGGGGGGCAAAAUCUCGAAAGGGGUGCUAAUACCGCAUACUCAUAGAUGAGCCUAAGUCGGAUUAGCUAGUUGGUGGGGUAAAGGCCUACCAAGGCGACGAUCUGUAGCGGGGCUGAGAGGAUGUUCCGCCGCACUGGGACUUAGACACGGGCCAGACUUCUACGGGAAGCAGCCGGGGGGAAUAGUGGCAGAUGGGGGGAACCCUGAUCCCGACCUGCGGCGUGUGUGAAGAAGGCCUUAUGGUUGUAAAGCACUUUAAGCGAGGAGGCGUUACUCGCAGAAUAAGCACCGGCUAACUCCGUGCCAGCAGCCGCGGUAAUAC